CCUCAAUAUAUUGGGCUUCGUUUUUUAUGGUCCAUCAAAGAAUCCCCUUCUUCUUUGUGCUGAUUUCUCUUCCGCUUACUCGAGGAAGUAACGUUCCGGCGUUAUGUCAAUCACUGAAAACCCACCAAUCCCACGAUUUCCUCUUCAUUGAAACUUUUUGGAUUCCCUCAGUUUCGAACUCUAUAUAUACUUUUGUUCCCUAGCUUCUUCUCUUUACUAAAAUUAUCAAAAUCGAAGAAUCUUGGCAAGCUACUAAACUCCAAGGUAACAUGAUUCCUUUUAAUUUCUCUUCACUAAUUUGAUUUUGAAGUCAUAAUUUCUUAUCAUUUACGAUGUUGUAUUUGCAGCUGCGAGAGUUUCUUACGAACAGUGGUCGCAAAGUUGAUUCCGUUUAAAGGUUCAUUCUGCAGAUCAAAAGAUCAUUUGGAUGACUCAGCAUCCAGCACUGAAACUUCCCAUGAAGCAACAAGAGGGUGAGCCUCUACAUAUAGGUAACAUUACCAACAAGAGGAAAUGUUGAGCUUGGAGUUCCAUGGACGUGGCCUUCCCUCCCACUUCCUCCUCUUUCAGUAUAUUAUACUUACAGAUCCGCAAUACAGCCGUUUCUGCUAUUUAACAAUCCCGUCAUAUAAGUAGUUUGCGAAAGGCCACGACUCCUCUAUCAUCUACAUGAUUGCUUGUGACUCUCUUCAUUACUUUGUGUCGAGCUCUCAGAGCCUCAUGUUAAAUGCUACAUUACUCAGCUAUUAAAGGCCUCGACCAUUGUCCCGCCAACCAUUGUUGGGAUUGACUUCGAGAGCACAAGCAGCAUAAUAGGUGCAAUAUACGCACUUUCCAGUAUAAACAAGACAUGCCAGCAGAGACAUUCAAAGAGUUCUAGAUUCUAUUAUUUUGCUUCUAAACAGUGUGUUCCCAAUGGAUUCAAAAAUUAAAGGCACUGCAACUAAUGAAUGCUCUCAAGAGCAAGGGUGUUGGUGUCAAUACUCGUGUGGAGCAGACUGAUGGUGUGGUAGCAUCACUUGGUGAAAAUACAAAUGUCAACCAUCAAACUUCCUCAUCUGUUGUACCAGAAGGAGGGCGUUCAGCAUCAAACAAUCAGAUUUUUGACCCAAAGAAUGGAAAGAAGAAGGCACGGUUGGAUUGGAUCCACCUAGAAAACACAAAUCACCAUUACAUUUCCUUAUGUUUUUAUGUCGUCCUUUUCGUUUGGUUAUGCACUAUAAUUUAGAACUUUAUCGAUUUUUAAUUAAACUCAACGCGGUGGGUGGUUUUUCAAUAAACACAAUAUAUGCAUUGAAGAAGUCAAGUCCUCAGCAUGUUAAAUUGUGUAAAAAAUAUUUUAUUUGAGAUGUUAAAUCUA